UUUUUUUUUUUUUUUUUUUUGUAUAGAUAAAAUCACCUUUCUCUGUAACAAAUACUUUUCUGCUCUCUAACGAUUUUUUUAUGGCAAACUAGCUGAAGUUUAAAGAAUUAGCAUGUAUCUUUUGAGAGAAUUGUCUCCUCGUGACCUCGAGAUAAUGGCGGCGCCACCACUACCCGUCGAUUUCCUAUUUUGAAUCCGAGGAACUUUGCAAUCGCUUGCUCUUGAUUUCAGAUUAUUUCGUCCAUUUUCAACAAAUUUCGGUUAUUGAUCUUAUGACACCGAGAUGAAGACGUUGUUGUCGAUUGAAGUGCCGGUACCGGUGGUGAAGAGAAGUUUGAGCAAAUUGAUUUUAGUGAAACGAACUCGAUGAUGGAAAAGGAGCAACGUAUUACUGAGGGGUGAUGCAGCGGUCGUGGGGCAAAUACACAGCGGAGAUCCGCUGGAAAAUAAUGAUUUUAAGGGACAAGGUACAACAUUUAAAGGGGUAACGUGCAACAGAAAAACACUCAAUUCCAGUGAAUAAUUCAUCGAUAUUUUGAUAUCGGGGGACAUUCACAUUUCCAAAUUUUGAGGGGAUAAAGUGCGAAAAUUAGAUAUUUAUAAGGAGUGACGUGCAUUUUGCCCUACAAAAAUUGUUCAAAGGGUAACGUGCAAAACACACGAUAGUUUGGGGGGAAGUGCCAUUUUAUUUUAGGGCAAAUUACCAAAACCCCUCUGAGGUAAGCCUAAAUAGCGAAAAUCCCCCCCAUGUUCUCGUAAUUACGAAAACCCCCCUGAGGUAUGCAGACGUCUUACAAAUCGCUCUAACGGUGUUAGACUCGAUAGAAUCUUUUUGAUUCUCCCGAAUAUUCCUCCGAUAAUACCAAUUUUGCCCUUGUACACGAAAUUAACCUUAGGGGGUAAUUGUAAGCAUUUUAUUUAAGGGUUAACUGCACAUAUUCAUCUUCUUCGUCUUCUUCGUCCACCACCACGUAUCAGACACACCACCAAACACAAACCAGGCAAUCAUAACCUCUCACAAAUCAAACACCAACCACCACAACCUCUGAUCCGCCGCACCACCCCCACCACCACCGAACCAAUUUCAAUCCAUCCCCCCAUAUCUGCUAGUUCGAUUUCGAAAAAUCUGCUAUUUAAUCCGCCCCUUCACCAUCACAAGGCAAAGAAAUUGGGUUUUUUUCGCCGGUGCUCCGGUCUCAAAAUUUGACUGCCGGCUGGUGGUUAUUUCUUUGCCGCAAUCAAUCAACGGGUGACGGCGGCGGCGAAUUGCAGUGGUGGAAGCAACCCAUUUGGUGGAAAUAUGACACUGUAGCAAGGGAUAUACCUUCCGCCGUUGAAACCUUCGGCGGCGGUCCAUCAAUUUCAGCCCCAAACCAAAUUUUUUUCUUUGAAUCAGAGUUUGAAUCCGCCCGAGGAAUUUGAGUUUUUGGAAUCAAAGCUUAAUCAACAAUACAGUCCUCAAUUUGUUGUUUUUUUUUCGGGAGAGAGAAAGAUUGAUUAAUUUGGUGUUUCGGUGUGAUGUGCUUUCGGGUUAUAGUCCUUAAUUUUCGAUGGACGAUGAAGCAGAGGCGGCAGGCGGCGGAGGGCGACGAAGCAGAGUUGGGCAAGCGGAGGGCGGCGAAACAGAGGCGGCGGAGGGAGGUAAAGCAGAGGUGGCAGGCGGCGGUUUGAGGGCUGAAAUGGAUGAAGAGUAAUUUGGUUGGGCCGGUGGUGACGGGAUAAGUUUGGUUGGGGAAGAUGCCCUUUUUCAAAUAAAAAAUAAAAAAAUUAUAAUAUCAAAUUAUCAAUACAAAUUACAAAGUAAUAAAUAAAUUUAUAAAAGCAAUAAAUCAUCAAAUGAAAGGGAUGUCAGGGGGGAUUUUCGUUAUUUAGGCUUACCUCAGGGAGGUUUUGGUAAUUUGCCCUUUAUUUUUUACAUAUUUAACAGAAGGAUAUAAUAGACAUUUCACGUUUUCGGUUAAAAAAAUUCGGUCAACCGUUAGUCAAGGGGGGUUUUCGUAAUUACGAGAACAUGGGGGGGAUUUUCGUUAUUUAGGCUUACCUCAGGGGGGUUUUGGUAAUUUGCCCUUUAUUUUAACCGGCCUAAGAAGUCAUUACAAGAUUGGAAAUUUUAAGAUCGUUGUUGGGCUAAAUACCUAACACGCAAGUGCACGUAUCGCAAACAAGUAGUAAAAGUGGACUCGUGAUAGUCGGAUGUCGAUCCCACAGGGAAUACUCAAAUUAUCUAAUCCUAAGUACCAAAUCUUAACAAUUAUGAUUUUUAUCCAGCCUACACAAGGUUGUCAAAUUUAAUCAAUUAAACAAUUAAAUUAAUUAAGAAAGCAAAUAAGCACGAGAAAUAUCAAUAUAAAAAGGGAUCUAGGAUUUUAUCUUCCCCCUAUGCGAUAAUUCAUCACCCAAUUAAACCUCUAUCAUGCAAGUUACGAUUCAUGAUUAUUAACCCGAGGCACGAAAUUACUCAUAACCCGUUGUCGCGUGUAUUAUGAGUCUAUUAUUUAUAACCGAUUCACUAUAUGUCUAUGCAAACCAAUUAUGAAUAAAGGAUUAACUAACAAGUCUCGUAAACGGCUACCUAAGGUAUUAUCUAUAUGUCUGCGAUAAUACAUGCAAUUAACACACUCAUCCGGUGAAAACUACUCGAAGGCUCUUCUAUCAUUGUUCUAAUUUUUAAAACGAUCUGUCAAUCAAUUCUAACAAUAACACAUAGCAACAUAAAUUAGCUAGGUUCAUGCGCUAAAUAAGAUCAAAAUAAAGAUAUAAUCACGGAAUUUAAACUUGCAUAAUAUUAGAAAAAUAGGUUCGAAUCACCACAUAGGGUUCAAAUAAAAUCCUAAAUUAAAAACUUAGCUACUCAUGUUCUCUACGAAAAGCAUAAUAAAAAUACGAAAAUUCAUAAAAGUAGAAAAAUAAAAGUAAAGGGAGAACUAUGAUGAAGAUUCGUCAAGUCUUUGUCUUCGUUGCUCCGCUUUCUUGCUCCUAGAAUGCGUGUAAAAAGAUAAGAUCACCAAUUGUGUGCUUGGCUUGGCCUUAUAUAGGGUGUAAAAAUAUAGGAAGGCGGUUUCCUUGUGUAAUUAAACUUCAUUCACUCCGCCUCCUCGUGAUCUCGGGCGGUCGCGCCAGAUUUAGCUCUAGAACUCGGACGGCCGUCCGGGCUUCAAAUCUUCGAUUUUUUUAAUUUCUUACUUUUGGCCCACUUUUUCUCUGAAAUUGCAGUUUUUACCCCAUAAUUUUUUAAUUCUUCAAUUUGUACCUAAAAUACAAAUAAUCACCAUUUUAAGCACCAAUUAUCGUUAAAACACACCAAAAGUUCCAAUUAGAAGGUAUUAUUAAGUGUAAAAAUAUACACUUAACAAUCGUAAGCAGUGGAAUUUGAAAAUUUCUUUAUAAUCUACAUGCCCAAACUAUAUUUUUAUACGAUUUGGAAUAUUAGCGCUAAGUUCGCUUAUCUCUCAAUUAAUAUUACUUUCCUGCUAAGCUGACGUGGACUCGAUCGAAGUUGUCGCGUCAUUGCUUAUGAAACUAAGAUAAUUAAGAUAUAGUAACAAUAAAGAAUGUAUUAAAGGAUAAGAAAACCUUCCGUACAUAUGUAGAUUCUCGCUCCAAGUUUGCCAUGCAGAUUUUCUUGUAGCCCAUGUAUAUCCAUCAGUAAAAUUUGAAUGAAGCAAACCAUUUUAUCUAUAUUGCAAAUUUAGUUGAUAGAUCUCGUAUAUAUAAUCGUCUUCUCUCGAAGUAGCAUUUCCUUCUUUAUGUUACCUCUCCCUCUAUAAAUUCAAAACUUUAAAUUAAUUUUACAUUUGGAUUUUUUUUUAAAAUCAAUAAUAUAAUAUAUUCACAUAAUAAGGAUAAUUCAUAAAAAUUCUCAUACAAAUGGAAAAUACUAUAUUUAUUUUAAUAAACAUUUAUAGAAAACACUGACACAGAAAAUCUAAAGCCCAGUGGGCUUGUGUUCAGGUGCCCUAAAAAUAGCUGCACUUUGUUUUUCCUAGGUUUUGACAUCACUCAAUUACCUUUAUAAAAAGGACCGAUUAAAUCUCUUCUGUAUCUGAAAUUCCUAGGGUUUUUCUCUGCGCCGUUUUCUGUGUCUGAAUUUCCGACAGAAAAAUAAUGUACGUGUCAGAGUCGGUUUACAGAUUUUCGCCUGAAGAUCUCCACCACCGCCUAAUGCCGCCCCCUGAACCUCCACCGCCGAGGUUUGCUCUUCACUUCCGAUCAUAUAUAUAUGUGAUCUUCUUUUUCUUGAUUUAAUUUAUUUAUGUUCUUGAUAGUUGAUAUAUAUGGAUUUAAAAUGUUUUUUUCGUUCUUCAUGUUUGAUUGGUGAUGAUGAAUUAAGAUCUUAAUAACUGAUCUAUUUUUCAUUUUUUUUUCCUUUUUUCUUUAAAUAUUUUUCACCUGAUUUUGGCCCGUUGAUACAGAUUUGAAAUUCUUAAACCGAUUAAUGAUAUAUAUCAUACAUGGAUUUAAUUAAGAUGUAUUAGAUCUUAAUAACAAUAUUUAUUAUUGGAUCUUGGUAUUAAGAUGUUUUCCAUCUUCAUUUCUUGAUUUGUUUGUUGCAUGCAAAAGUUCAUUGGAUUGAAUUUAUUUAUUCUAUAUAGUUUAUAUAUAUGAAUUUAAUUAAGAUGUUCGAUUAAUUGAUUUAUGGACAAAGUUUACGACCUCUCUUUUCUUUUCUUUUUUGGUUUUUGGCAAAUAGAUGGAGGAGAAGCAUAUCGAACAAUAUUCUUGUCAGCGGAAACGGUAAAAUCAAUUUUAUUUUACCAAAUUUCUCACAAAGUUAACUUUUUUAAUUGCAUCAGUUGUCUUCACUGCCCACCACUAGUUGUUAGUUAGUCUACCUAACAACUACUCUACAGCGUGCAUGAUGAAUCUGUAUAUCUAAAUCAAUUGUUUCACCAAAGAUGAAUCAGCCUUUCUUCAUAUUUCUCACACGCUUUUGCAAACAACAGGUUUCUUCCCCGUCAAUCCACCUCAUAAUCAACACUGAUCUCCCUCGUUUGUAUGUGGCAAAAUGGUAAAAAAUGACGACGGAAUUCUUGAGCCUCCAGCUAUGAAAAUAUAUAUAUGAGAUUGGUUAAUGGUUCUUAAUGCGGAUUUAGUUUUGCUUCGUUGCUACUUUUGUUUUCCUAUCAUCAAAGACUGAAUUUGAGGUGCUAGAAACAUUCUAAUAUUAUCGAAUCUUUCUAACACCUCAAAUUGGGUCUUAGGAUAAAAAAGCUAAUGAUAGGAAAACAAAAUAUAGCAACACGACGGACUAGCUCGUAUGAAUGAUAAUGCUCUUGUUAUAAAUCGGGUCAUUUUUUCCUUUCUUGUCCCUUUUAGAAAUAUUCGACUUUUCGUUUUGUUGAAUCCAAAUAUGGAGUGUACUUACUAUAUAUGUAGAUUUUGUUGUACUAUAUAUGUUUGUAAUAAUCUUGGACGUCUUAUUCUUAAGAAUUUAUUUUCCUAAGCGAUGUAAUGAUCUUUAUUUACUUAAAGCCUUGUGGUCUCUAAUUAAUUCAGUUAAUUUUUCAAGAAACUAAUUAUGGAUAAGCUAAUCCUUUCAAAUAAUUAUUAAAUGCACAUCCAAUCUUUUCACCCUUUAAUUCAUCUACAGCUUAAACCUGGCUGAAUAAACUAUAGACAAAGAGCAUAAUUUCUUAAAAUUACAAUUUGGUCCUAAAUCUUUUGAAUUAUGUAUAAGCAAGUCGAAUUUAUUUUUGGGUAUUGGUGGUUGGAGAAACUAGAUGCAAAAGCAUUAUUUAUUAAAAUUACAAUUUGGUCCUAAACCUUUUGAAUUCUGUAUAAACAAGUCAAAUUGUAUUACAUCUGGGGAUUGGUGGUUGGAGAAACUAGAUACAGAGCAUGAUUUCAAAAAAUUGCAAUUUGGUCCUAAACCUUUUGAAUUAUGUAUAAGUAUGUCAAAUUGAACAAAACUCACCGAUUUAAGAAACUAAGGUUUCUGCAAUUUAUGCAAUUUCCGCAAAAGGAAUCAUCGGGAUUAAUCUAGGGGGGUGGGCCGUUGAACAAAGAAGAUAUGAGUUGGGCGGUGGGCUGUUAAAAAAUGGCGCCGGAGAUGGUUUAGGCGGUGGAGCGGUGUCGGGAGGAUGAUGAUUUUUUUCUUUUCUUUAAUUAAAUUCUGGAAAAUUGCAAUUUAACCUCUUUUAGUUUCUGCAAAAUUUCAGAAACUCUAUUUGGCCCCUUAAUUUUAAUACAUACCUGUUAAAUGGUUGUGGCUUUUAUUUUUGCAGAAACCUCCCUGGGGUACUUUUGUCUUUUCUCGGUCAACGGGAAAAAGGUAAAUGGGUCGAGUGUGCUGUCUAAAAAUAAAUUAAGGGACUAUUUGCUAAUUUUUUUAUGACAGUGGAAAUGCACAGUUGCGAUUUUUUACACGGGUACUAAAUGCAAUUAUCUAAAACUUUCAAUUAUUUUUUAUAUUUGCAUAAUAAGGAUAUUUCUAGGAAAAUUACAGUUUAUGUCCCUAAACUUUACCACUAAAACGAUUUAUGUCCUCAAACAUUUCAAUCCACGAAAUAUGUCCUCAAACUUGCCACUUUUGAUCACUUUAUGUUCUGCCGUUAAUUUCGGCAACUAACUUCGACGGAAAUAGCACACGUGGCUCACGGGACGUCUAUGUAUGUCGAGUUGUACAACACCCAGUGCCUACGUGGCCGACGAAACGUGAUGUGGAGCGACACGUCAUUCUCCUCCCCUAUUUAUAUUCUAAAAUCCCCAAUUCUCCAUAUCCCCAAUGAACCAGUAAAUCCAAUCCCUAAAACACCAUUUCGAAUCCUUCAAUUGAGGUGAAAUUCGAAAAUAGCAGAAUCGUCUUCUCAAGUUUUUGAAUGCCCGAGUAGUUAAAGCGUCAUAAUUGCAAAAUAUUUUUCGAUUUGGUAAGUUUCCUCAGCGUAGCUUCUAAGAAGGGAAAAACUCUUCAAAUGUGAGAAUGUUUGGAUUUUUUUAUGGGUUUAUGAAUUCGAUUUUAGUAUGGGUUAGAGCAAAAAUGCAUAUUAGAUUGAAAAUUUGGGAGUGGGUUGAGGUGAUUGAAAUUGGGAAGUGUGGGAAAAUUAUGGUUUAUGGGAAUGAAACGUGAUUUGGGAUUUGGGAGAAUGAGUUAGAGGAAAAUAGUGUAUUCUUGUGCCACGUCAACAUUUAAUAUUCAUUAUAUUAUCCGACGUCACAUUUAACGGCCACAUAGACGUCACGUGAGCCACGCGUGCUAUUUCCGUCGAAGUUGGCUGCCGACGUUAACGGCAGAACAUAAAGUGAUCAAAAGUGGCAAGUUUGAGGACAUAUUUCGUGGAUUGAAAUGUUUGAGGACAUAAAUCGUUUUAGUGGUAAAGUUUAGGGACAUAAACUGUAAUUUUCCCGAUAUUUCUACUGGCCCCUAACCUUGUACUUUUACAUUUCGCUCACUUUUUUACUAGCAACACCCAUUUCAGAAAUUCAAUUAGCCCCUCUAGCCUCGACUUCUAAACCUUCUUCUCAAUUUCUCUACGAAUUCCUUAUUCCAUUUAUGCAUAUACAUUGUGAGGGUACUACCCUUUGAUCGGAUGAAGUUUGUCAAUUCCGGUAAAAAAUACUCCGGGAGUUUGACUUUGGAGCAAAGUACUGCAACAAAGAUAUAUUUUAAAAGGGGAUGUCUCUUUUUUUUAGUUUCUAGGGGGGGAAAAGUGCGAAUUUCUAAAAUUUCUAGGUGGCGAAGUACAAUUUUCCAUAAUGUAUAUCUUUUGUUAAAAAAACAUUAAAAAAAUAUUAGUAAAUCAUGAAUAGCCAACAAUCUCCACAUUCAAUCUUCCACAAUCAACAAUCAUCUUCCUCUGUUUUUUUGUUUUUUUUUUUUUUUUUUGUAUAGAUAAAAUCACCUUUCUCUGUAACAAAUACUUUUCUGCUCUCUAAAAUCUACUAACGAUUUUUUUAUGGCAAACUAGCUGAAGUUUAAAGAAUUAGCAUGUAUCUUUUGAGAGAAUUGUCUCCUCGUGACCUCGAGAUAAUGGCGGCGCCACCACUACCCGUCGAUUUCCUAUUUUGAAUCCGAGGAACUUUGCAAUCGCUUGCUCUUGAUUUCAGAU
rnacentral:lncRNA from 1 species